rnacentral:tRNA from 1 species
UUCGUUGUUAUCUAGCGGUUAGGAUAUCUGGCUUUCACCCAGGAGACCCGGGUUCAAUUCCUGGCAACAGAA